rnacentral:rRNA from 1 species
UAGGGAAUCUUCGGCAAUGGACGCAAGUCUGACGGAGCAACGCCGCGUGAGUGAAGAAGGAUUUCGGUUCGUAAAACUCUGUUGUUAGAGAAGAACAGCGCAUAGAGUAACUGUUAUGCGUGUGACGGUAUCUAACCAGAAAGCCACGGCUAACUACGUGCCAGCAGCCGCGGUAAUACGUAGGUGGCAAGCGUUGUCCGGAUUUAUUGGGCGUAAAGCGAGCGCAGGCGGUCAAUUAAGUCUGAUGUGAAAGCCCCCGGCUCAACCGGGGAGGGUCAUUGGAAACUGGUUGACUUGAGUGCAGAAGAGGAGAGUGGAAUUCCAUGUGUAGCGGUGAAAUGCGUAGAUAUAUGGAGGAACACCGGUGGCGAAAGCGGCUCUCUGGUCUGUAACUGACGCUGAGGCUCGAAAGCGUGGGGAGCGAACAGG